UUUAUAUGAGAGUUUGAUCCUGGCUCAGGAUGAACGCCGGCGGUGUGCCUAAUACAUGCAAGUCGUACGCACUGGCCCAACUGAUUGAUGGUGCUUGCACCUGAUUGACGAUGGAUCACCAGUGAGUGGCGGACGGGUGAGUAACACGUAGGUAACCUGCCCCGGAGCGGGGGAUAACAUUUGGAAACAGAUGCUAAUACCGCAUAACAAUAAAAGCCGCAUGGCUUUUAUUUGAAAGAUGGCUUUGGCUAUCACUCUGGGAUGGACCUGCGGUGCAUUAGCUAGUUGGUAAGGUAACGGCUUACCAAGGCGAUGAUGCAUAGCCGAGUUGAGAGACUGAUCGGCCACAAUGGAACUGAGACACGGUCCAUACUCCUACGGGAGGCAGCAGUAGGGAAUCUUCCACAAUGGGCGCAAGCCUGAUGGAGCAACACCGCGUGAGUGAAGAAGGGUUUCGGCUCGUAAAGCUCUGUUGUUGGAGAAGAACGUGCGUGAGAGUAACUGUUCAUGCAGUGACGGUAUCCAACCAGAAAGUCACGGCUAACUACGUGCCAGCAGCCGCGGUAAUACGUAGGUGGCAAGCGUUAUCCGGAUUUAUUGGGCGUAAAGCGAGCGCAGGCGGUUGCUUAGGUCUGAUGUGAAAGCCUUCGGCUUAACCGAAGAAGUGCAUCGGAAACCGGGCGACUUGAGUGCAGAAGAGGACAGUGGAACUCCAUGUGUAGCGGUGGAAUGCGUAGAUAUAUGGAAGAACACCAGUGGCGAAGGCGGCUGUCUGGUCUGCAACUGACGCUGAGGCUCGAAAGCAUGGGUAGCGAACAGGAUUAGAUACCCUGGUAGUCCAUGCCGUAAACGAUGAGUGCUAGGUGUUGGAGGGUUUCCGCCCUUCAGUGCCGGAGCUAACGCAUUAAGCACUCCGCCUGGGGAGUACGACCGCAAGGUUGAAACUCAAAGGAAUUGACGGGGGCCCGCACAAGCGGUGGAGCAUGUGGUUUAAUUCGAAGCUACGCGAAGAACCUUACCAGGUCUUGACAUCUUGCGCUAACCUUAGAGAUAAGGCG
rnacentral:rRNA from 1 species